rnacentral:lncRNA from 1 species
AAUUGCAGGGUCAGUUUCUACUGCCUGCUUCAACCAUACAGAACAUUGUGGAGGAAAUGCAGAACAUACAGUUUGGGUAAACUUGCAUCACUGUUAAAAGAUGACACAUCAUUAUCAGAGGAGGACAUCAACAAAGUCUGCGAGUCUGUCAAAAGCUAUGAUCUUUUUUCUGCAUGUCAUACCGGGCCAUUGAGGACAGUGCACUCCAGAGCUCAGACCUUUAAAAAAGCCUUCAACUAUGUGGAACCAAAGAAAAUAUUUUUAGGGAGAGAUGAAAACAGAAAAGAUAGGUUUGCCUAUUAUGUGCCUUUAAGAGAGACUUUGAGAUGUCUGCUAGAGUCUGAUCUGUGGCAGAAAUCAGAAGAGCCCUCUACUGAGCCUCCUGCUGAUGUUCUGUGUGACAUAAGUGAUAGUAAGCUGUUUAAAUCAAAUGAUUUUUUUGGUCAAAACCCAUCAUGUCUCAAGCUAGUACUCUACCAGGAUGCCUUUGAAGUCGUUAACCCUUUAGGCUCUGCAAGGACAAAACACAAGGUAUUAGCUGUAUAUGCAUCAGUGGCAAACUUGCCACUUCAUGUACGCUCAGACACAGAUCACAUGUCUCUUGUCUUACUGUGCAGGGAGAAAGAUUUUAAAGAGUUUGGUCAUGCUAAUGUGUUCUCUGAAUUACUGGCAGACUUGAAAGAAUUGGAGGACAGUGGGAUUGUUGCAUCAGAUGAAACUAGAGUCAAAGGAACUUUGUUUUGCAUUGCUGGUGAUAAUCUGGGUUCUCACUGUAUUGGUGGCUUCACUGAAAACUUUAGUUCUUCAAAGUACUUCUGCAGGUACUGCCUGAUAACGAAAUCUGAAUUUCAGGGUGCUGACCCAAAUCUGUGUGGACCAGAACGUACCAAAGAGAACUACAACUCUGCUGUUGAUCACCUCCAGAUUGACAAUACACCAGACGUCGAAGGAGUGAAGUUCAGGUCAGUGUUCAAUUCACUGAAAUACUUCAACGUUUGUAUGCCAGGCUUGCCACCAUGUCUAGGUCAUGAUAUCUUUGAGGGAGUAAACAGAUUCAAGAAGAUAUUUUACACAUUUCUUUGUUGUCUGUCUCUAAAUCUUAUUUUGUCUUUAUUAUGA